UCCGAGUUGACCCCGGCAGUCUCAUUAGAGUGCCCUUGCGUAGCAACUAAUGAUAAGGGUUGCGCUCGUUGCGGGACUUAACCCAACACCUCACGACACGAGCUGACGACAGCCAUGCAGCACCUUCUCCCCGGCUCCCGUAAGGGCACCCCUCAAUCUCUUGAAGGCUCCGGGGGAUUUAACCCAGGUAAGGUUCUCCGCGUUGCAUCGAAUUAAUCCACAUCAUCCACCGCUUGUGCGGGUCCCCGUCAAUUCCUUUGAGUUUUAAUCUUGCGACCGUACUCCCCAGGCGGUCGACUUCACGCGUUAGCUGCGUUACCGAAGGAGUUACCCUCCGACAACUAGUCGACAUCGUUUAGGGCGUGGACUAC
rnacentral:misc_RNA from 1 species